AUUAUCACCUUGGCUAAAGAUUCUAAGAGUUUUAAUUCAGCAACAGCUAAGGAGUUACAGCUUAUCGGCCUGCUUAUCCUUGUACCAGGGGCCCUUUGUUAAAGGAACUAUGACUCACGACGCAGACUGCGGGACUCUAUGGGAAAAUAUUGCCAAAACCCAUAUACCUUACCGAGUCUGUCUCUAAACUUAACAGAGCGUCCAAGUGAACAUGCUUUGAAUGGUAGCCAGUAAGAUUUAUAGGCUUGCUCCAAUCCUUUCCAUUAUACGCUACAGGUGAUAAAACGGAAAGUUACUAUUCUAUGGAAACCUAAAAUAGAACUUGUUAACUUUAAUGUUUAUAGCUGGAGAAGGGCUCUAAUUCCAUCUUCCAUCUCCUUAGAAUUGUUUCAUUCACACUGUUUGUUUUUCGUACUGAAAAGCGCUAUGAGACUUGUUGCUGCACGAGAACAUACCCUAUCAUUAUGAUAAUUGCUU